rnacentral:rRNA from 1 species
UGAAAGGGAAACGAUUGAAGUCAGUCGUACUUGCGGGUAAUCAGCCUUUUGGGUGUGAUUCUGUGGAGCGUGGGGAGUUAAACGCCUUCAUGCCUGCGUAUUCGCGUACUUUGGGUGUACUUGCCCGUGUGGUAGGUUAACAUCAAUUUUGAUCAUCAUAAAAUGGCUGGAGGAAUGUAGCUUCGAUCUCGUAUUGAAGUGUUAUAGCCUUCGGCAGAUGUGAUGAUCGGGAUUGAGGAUUGCAACGGAUACCCUUCGGGGCUACCUGCCUGAUCUCUGAUUGUUGCUCUGGUGCCGAAAGCGUGCUUACGGUUAUCAAAGUCGAUGGUCAACAGGUUAGAACGGGUUAAAUUCGUUAAGGAUGUUGACGUA